UGGAUCCAGACUUUGAUUCUGGCUCAGGACGAACGCUGGCGGCGCGCCUAACACAUGCAAGUCGAACGAGAGAUGGGGAGCUUGCUCUUCAAAUCGAGUGGCGAACGGGUGAGUAACGCGUGAGGAACCUGCCUCAAAGAGGGGGACAACAGUUGGAAACGACUGCUAAUACCGCAUAAGCCCACAGCUCGGCAUCGAGCAGAGGGAAAAGGAGUGAUCCGCUUUGAGAUGGCCUCGCGUCCGAUUAGCUAGUUGGUGAGGUAACGGCCCACCAAGGCGACGAUCGGUAGCCGGACUGAGAGGUUGAACGGCCACAUUGGGACUGAGACACGGCCCAGACUCCUACGGGAGGCAGCAGUGGGGAAUAUUGCACAAUGGGGGAAACCCUGAUGCAGCGACGCCGCGUGGAGGAAGAAGGUCUUCGGAUUGUAAACUCCUGUUGUUGAGGAAGAUAAUGACGGUACUCAACAAGGAAGUGACGGCUAACUACGUGCCAGCAGCCGCGGUAAAACGUAGGUCACAAGCGUUGUCCGGAAUUACUGGGUGUAAAGGGAGCGCAGGCGGGAGAACAAGUUGGAAGUGAAAUCCAUGGGCUCAACCCAUGAACUGCUUUCAAAACUGUUUUUCUUGAGUAGUGCAGAGGUAGGCGGAAUUCCCGGUGUAGCGGUGGAAUGCGUAGAUAUCGGGAGGAACACCAGUGGCGAAGGCGGCCUACUGGGCACCAACUGACGCUGAGGCUCGAAAGUGUGGGUAGCAAACAGGAUUAGAUACCCUGGUAGUCCACACCGUAAACGAUGAUUACUAGGUGUUGGAGGAUUGACCCCUUCAGUGCCGCAGUUAACACAAUAAGUAAUCCACCUGGGGAGUACGACCGCAAGGUUGCAACUCAAAGGAAUUGACGGA
rnacentral:rRNA from 1 species